rnacentral:rRNA from 1 species
CGCGUAGGCGGCCCGAUAAGUCCGCUGUAAAAGUCAACGGCUCAACUGUUGAAAGCCGGUGGAUACUGUCGGGCUAGAGUACGGAAGAGGCAAGUGGAAUUCCUGGUGUAGCGGUGGAAUGCGCAGAUAUCAGGAGGAACACCUAUAGCGAAGGCAGCUUGCUGGGACGUUACUGACGCUAAGGCGCGAAAGCGUGGGGAGCGAACAGGAUUAGAUACCCUGGUAGUCCACGCCGUAAACGAUGAGAACUAGGUGUGGGAGGUGUCGACUCCUCCCGUGCCGUCGCUAACGCAUUAAGUUCUCCGCCUGGGGAGUACGGCCGCAAGGCUAAA